rnacentral:lncRNA from 1 species
GGGAGCCAGAAGGUGAAGAAGGAGAUAAGUGUUCGGGAAAUUUCAGGGACCUGGGAUCUCGUCCAGUUAAAGAAUUUUCUGAACCUUGUUCAUUAUUCCAACCAAUUUGAAAAUGAGAGAAGAUGCUCAAAAGUGUUUAUCUCUGAAGCAAAGACCUGAGUGUUCAUUGAGCACAGACAUAUUAGAAAAUAACAAAGGAAAGAGGAUACUUUUUGGCGGUGGUAUUGUCUAAAACAUGAGAACACUUCAAGACCAAGACCAAGAUGGGGGUGUCUGGCUUAUGGUCUUCAGAGAAGGAGAAAGUCGUGUGCGUGCAGAGGCUGAGGGCCACACAGCAAGCUGUGAUUUCAUAGCAGUACAGAGUUGUGUUUGUUCCAGACUGCGCUGGCCUUGAGGAAAAGACAAGGAUGUGUCCAAUAAUUAUGAUGAGACUGAAUAUCUAACAAAGCUAGUAGGGGUUUAUUUUAAUGUCCUUCCUUAAGGUUCCUGUAGCUUCUGUUUUGUUCUGAGUAGCUUUUGAAGUUUCUCUGCUCUGUGACAGUCCCAUCUCUAAAUCCAUCUCUAAACCCAACGUAACUGACCUGGGUCCGCUCCCAGCUCUGGAAAAUUACAUUUUCUUGGACAAUUCACUUAAUUUCUUUCUUACAUUGUUAAAAAAAAUCUAUGCGGUGAGGGUUUUGAAAGUACGUACUUCAAAGAAUUAUUUAGAGUAAUAAGUAAAAUAAUUCAUAUGCUUAGAAUACUGCCAGGUACUCUGAAGCCAUUAAUAAAUAUUAGCCA